rnacentral:tRNA from 2 species
GCCGAAGUGGCGGAAUGGCAGACGCGACGGUCUCAAACACCGUUGGGGGCAACCCCGUGUCGGUUCGACUCCGACCUUCGGCACCA